UGUUCUGUGGCUUAGUUGGUUAAAGCGCCGGUCUAGCGAAUACGGAGUCGUGGGUUCGAAUCCCACUAGAACGC
rfam:Aedes albopictus isolate Foshan contig129475, whole genome shotgun sequence.